rnacentral:lncRNA from 1 species
GUAAGGCUUACUGUACUUCUGUUCAUGCGACGCUGAUGAUGUCAUGACUCAGUUUCUAAACAGCUGCUCCUUCUAGGGAUUCCAAAUCAAACUUUAUACUUUUGAUUGGAUUGGAUUUUUUUUUUUUGUCUGUUUAGUGAGAGAGAUAAAAUCUUAUUUUUGGCAUAGCUUAACAUUAUUACCUUUUGUCAUAUGUUCAUCAAGUCAUUGAUAGGUUUUUUUUUUAAUAUGUAGGCAGUAUCAAACAACUAUAACUUCUAGAUGGCAACUUUUAUGUUUUUCCUGUUUGGUAUGGGUAAGAAGAGGAAGAAGUAUACAAGAAAAAGGAAUGUAGUUUUUCAAGAAUGGUUGUUGCUGAACCUUGAGGAAGCAUCAAGGUGACCAGAAGUGAGCUAUGAGUGGGUGGCUGUACAUCCUGGUUUGUAUGGAUCUUAGUUUAUGUCUGUUGUUCCCACAUAAUUAUUAAUAACAUUUUAUUUAACUCUCAAAAAUAUUCCAGAUGGUAAUCAGUGGUUAUCCCAAUUAUUAGAAGCUAAGCAGCACAGCAGGAGAUAAUCUUUAGUAUUGUUCUCAAUAUGACAUUGUUCUAGGAUGUCUCUCAAAAUAUAAACUCAUGGUCUACUCUGAAGCUCUGAGACAUUGUCUUUUGUUCAUAUUACUCAGUUAUUCUGAGUGCCCUUGUUGUUGGGUGCCACAAGCUGAGGAUCCUAUAUCUGAAACACUUGAGAUGAGAAUGGUCUUAGGUUUCAAAUUUUGUAUUUGCGUGUGUGUGUGUGUGUGUGUGUGUGUGUGUGUGUGUGUGUGUGUGUGUGAAAAAGAGAAGGAAAGUGGGGUAUCUUACAGAUGGGAUCAGAGUCUAAAUGAUAUCCAUGUAUGUUUCAUAUAACCCUUCUACACUUAGUCUGAGGGUGAGGUCACAGGUCUUGUUUUCCCCUGCACCUGUGUUUUGACUGUGACUGUCAUGUGAGGUUAGGGAUGAGGUUUUCUGCUAGUAAAGUCACCUUGCUCAGAAAGGUUCAGAUGUGGAGCAUUUUGGAUUAGAGCUGUUCAGCCUGUGUGUAUGUCUAUGCUUGUGCAACCUGAUGCAUAUAAGCAAAAGUGUUCUUCUUUCCUCUAGUCCUUGUUCCUCUCUUCUUCUCUGCCUCUGCACUAACCUUGCUGGUAUGCCUGCUGCUUUUUUAUAAAAGCACUGAUAGCACAUUUUUUUCAUAUUAUACAAACACUUUAUUAUUUUAAUUCUCCAAUGAUGCCUUCACAUUAAUUUUAUAUGGUUUACAUAGUUGUAUGUUAUUUGUUAAUUAUUUGUUGGUUUGUAAUAUGUACUAAGAAUUAUGUCAGAUCUUAUUAAAGUUGAGUAAAGUACAGUUCUUGCCUUUUUUUCCCCCUGAAAAUGGCCUUGAGCUUCUGAUCCUCCUUCCUUCAUCUCCCAGGUCCUGGGGUUACAGGGUAAAGCAUCACACCUGGCUAGAUCUUAAAUCUAGGCUAGUACAUUAGAAAAAUUCACAUACAGUUGCAGCAUACACAUUUUUCUUAGUAGCGAACAAAACAAUGCUAAAGACUAAAAGUCCACACUCC